rnacentral:rRNA from 1 species
GUAGGGUGCGAGCGUUAAUCGGAAUUACUGGGCGUAAAGUGUGCGCAGGUGGCCGCGCAUGUCGAGUGUGAAAUCCCCGGGCUUAACUUGGGAAUUGCGCUCGAAACUACGUGGCUCGAGUGUGGCAGAGGAAGGUGGAAUUCCAGGUGUAGCGGUGAAAUGCGUAGAGAUCUGGAGGAACACCGAUGGCGAAGGCAGCCUUCUGGGCCAACACUGACGCUCAUGCACGAAAGCGUGGGGAGCAAACAGGAUUAGAUACCCUGGUAGUCCACGCCCUAAACGAUGAUGACUAGUUGUUGGGGGAGUUAAAUCCCUUAGUAACGCAGCUAACGCGUGAAGUCAUCCGCCUGGGGAGUACGGUCGCAAGAUUAAA